rnacentral:rRNA from 1 species
UACGUAGGUGGCAAGCGUUGUCCGGAUUUACUGGGCGUAAAGAGCGCGCAGGCGGCUGGUCAAGUCCGAUGUGAAAUCUCCCGGCUUAACUGGGAAACUGCAUCGGAAACUGAUCGGCUUGAAGGUGGGAGAGGGUAGUGGAAUUCCUGGUGUAGUGGUGAAAUGCGUAGAUAUCGGAAGGAACACCUGUGGCGAAAGCGGCUCACUGGACCACAACUGACGCUGAGGCACGAAAGCUAGGGGAGCAAACAGG